rnacentral:lncRNA from 1 species
CCCGGGUCAAUGGACAAAGCCAAUGCAAUGUUACGCGACUCAUGUUCGCAUACUUAUUUUUAUUUAUUUUGGUAAUCGAUCUAUUUCCGGAAUCAUGUAAUAUUUAUCGUCAUGAACAUUUUGUUUUUACUUGCUGAACAUUGGUUUCUUUUACAUAAAUUAAACAUCUUUAUACGUUUUGAAAUUAAUUAUAUGUUUUUGUUGGAUUUGAACUUUGUCUUGUAUAUUUUUUUACUUGUCCACGGGCAACCAAGACAAAAAUAAUUACUUGUCCGGUUGUUCAAAUGUACGAGUCGGGCAUAGCAUUUCCACACCC